UACGUAGGGUGCAAGCGUUAAUCGGAAUUACUGGGCGUAAAGCGUGCGCAGGCGGUUAUGUAAGUCAGGUGUGAAAUCCCAGGGCUUAACCUUGGAACUGCAUUUGUGACUGCAUAGCUAGAGUACGGUAGAGGGGGAUGGAAUUCCGCGUGUAGCAGUGAAAUGCGUAGAUAUGCGGAGGAACACCGAUGGCGAAGGCAAUCCCCUGGACCUGUACUGACGCUCAUGCACGAAAGCGUGGGGAGCAAACAGG
rnacentral:rRNA from 1 species